rnacentral:rRNA from 1 species
AUUGAACGCUGGCGGCAUGCCUUACACAUGCAAGUCGAACGGCCGCGGACCUUCGGGUGCCGGCGAGUGGCGAACGGGUGAGUAAAGUAUCGGAACGUACCUUUCAGUGGGGGAUAACGUAGCGAAAGUUACGCUAAUACCGCACAUUCUGUGAGCAGGAAAGCAGGGGAUCGCAAGACCUGGCGCUGACUGAGCGGCCGAUCCCAGAUUAGCUAGUUGGUGGGGUAAAGGCCUACCAAGGCGACGAUCUGUAGCGGGUCUGAGAGGAUGAUCCGCCACACUGGGACUGAGACACGGCCCAGACUCCUACGGGAGGCAGCAGUGGGGAAUAUUGGACAAUGGGCGCAAGCCUGAUCCAGCCAUGCCGCGUGAGUGAAGAAGGCCUUCGGGUUGUAAAGCUCUUUCGGCCGGGAAGAAAUCGCAUGGGCUAAUACCCUGUGUGGAUGACGGUACCGGAAUAAGAAGCACCGGCUAACUACGUGCCAGCAGCCGCCGCGGUAA